CCCUUAGAUGUUCUGGGCCGCACGCGCGCUACACUGAUGCAUUCAACGAGUUUUUCCUGGUCCGAGAGGAAUGGGUAACCUUUUGAAAGUGCAUCGUGCUAGGGAUAGACUAUUGCAAUUAUUGGUCUUCAACGAGGAAUUCCUAGUAGACGUAGUUCAUCAGACUGCAUCGAUUACGUCCCUGCCCUUUGUACACACCGCCCGUCGCUACUACCGAUUGAACGUUUUAGUGAGGUAUUUGGACUGGACCUUCGGAGGUUCGCGCCUCCGUUGCUGUUCGGGAAGACUCCCAAACUUGAGCGUUUAGAGGAAGUAAAAGUCGUANCA
rnacentral:rRNA from 1 species